CUCCAAUAGCGUAUAUUAAAGUUGUUGCAGUUAAAAAGCCCGUAGUUGAACUUCAGACCUGGUGGGGUGGUCCGCUUAACGGCGUGUACUGCUCUGCUGGGCCUUACCUCUUGGUGAGCCGGCGUGGCCUUAACUGGUUGCGUCGGGGAACCAGGACUUUUACCUUGAGAAAAUUAGAGUGUUCAAAGCAGGCCUAUGCCUGAAUACAUUAGCAUGGAAUAAUAAAAUAGGACGUGCGGUUCUAUUUUGUUGGUUUCUAGAGUCGCCGUAAUGAUUAAUAGGGAUAGUUGGGGGCAUUGGUAUUGAGUCGCUAGAGGUGAAAUUCUUGGAUUGACUCAAGACCGACUACUGCGAAAGCAUUUGCCAAGGAUGUUUUCAUUAAUCAAGGACGAAGGUUAGGGGAUCGAAAACGAUCAGAUACCGUUGUAGUCUUAACAG
rnacentral:rRNA from 2 species